UACGUAGGGUGCGAGCGUUUAAUCGGAAUUACUGGGCGUAAAGUGUGCGCAGGCGGCCGAGCAAGUCGAGUGUGAAAGCCCCGAGCUUAACUUGGGAACUGCGCUCGAAACUACUUGGCUGGAGUGUGGCAGAGGAAGGUGGAAUUCCACGUGUAGCGGUGAAAUGCGUAGAGAUAUGGAGGAACACCGAUGGCGAAGGCAGCCUUCUGGGCCAACACUGACGCUCAUGCACGAAAGCGUGGGGAGCAAACAGGA
rnacentral:rRNA from 1 species